rnacentral:rRNA from 1 species
UACGAAGGGGGCUAGCGUUGCUCGGAAUCACUGGGCGUAAAGGGUGCGUAGGCGGGUCUUUAAGUCAGGGGUGAAAUCCUGGAGCUCAACUCCAGAACUGCCUUUGAUACUGAAGAUCUUGAGUUCGGGAGAGGUGAGUGGAACUGCGAGUGUAGAGGUGAAAUUCGUAGAUAUUCGGAAGAACACCAGUGGCGAAGGCGACUCGCUGGACAGACAUUGACGCUGAGGUGCGAAAGCGUGGGGAGCAAACAGG